UCUCACGUUCUUCACUUUCUUCUUCUCUCUCUCUCUCUCUCUCUCUAUCUCUGAAACAAAGAACAACAAGAUUCAUCUUUGUAUUGUCUUUUUUUUCUGUCUAUCUUCUUCAUCCUUACACAAAAUCACCCCAUCACCAUAAACCUCAGCCGCUGCCAUCAUCUUCAUCUCUCGUUCUAUACCUCUGCCAACGAACUGUGUCUCAGCCAUCACCUCUAAUCACUUCAGCUACGGCUACAAUAAGUGGAUCCAUACGGAAAUGUUUGAAGCAGUUGAGAUUUUAUAUUUUUGAUUUUUAUGGUUUAGAUCUGUGUUUGUGGAAAGUUGUUUUCGUUUGGAUCCUUUAUAUUCAUUAUUGAUUCUGUCUUUAGAUCUGUUGAGAACAUUCAUUUUUAUAUAUGUUUACGUACUGAUUUGCUGUUUUUGGAAUGUGGAGGAGUCAGUAGAUUUUGCGGAGGAGACAGAAGAUUUGGCGGAGAAGCCUGACGUCAGAGGAGGUGUGAUGGCUACGUCAGAGCGCUGUGGUGAAGGAGAUGGAGGCGACGACAGGAGGAAGACGACCAUGGAAGUCGGAAGGAGCGGCGCUGUGGUGAAGGAGAUGGAGGCGACGACAGGAGGAAUACAUACGACCUUGAAAGGAGGAAGGAGCGGUGGCUUAGGUUUAGGUUUCGGUUUAAUGUGUUUCAAUUAGUUUGUUGGUUUAAUUAAUUCUGGUUUAGUGUUGUAAAAAUAAAAUUUAGUUGUAAAGUGAAUUUAAUUAAUAAAUAACAUUUCAUUUUUAAUUAUACUGAUAUUAUUUGCAAACUGAUUUUAAUUAAUAAACAAAUUGCUAUAUAUUAAAAAAAAAUUAAGAGUUUUAAUAAAAUUUGAAUUACAUAAUUAUAAAUAUUAACAAUUGCAUACAAAUUCACGCUAUUGUUAUUUAUUUAAUUAUAGCAUACAUAAAAACCGCUAUUAAAAGUGUCGGACCUAUUAUAACGGACGCUGUCAGAGCGGACAAGGAAGCGCUAUUAUACAAAAUGCGUAGCGUUUUUCGUCCGCUAUUACUGCUCAUAUUUCCUGUAGUGUCUGGCUGAGGUGGUUAACGACAACUGAUGCUUCAACAAGUGUUUGGUUGGUCGGCCGGAGUAGCCUCUAUUGUCGUCUGCUGCAACUUUCUGCCUCGUUUUGCGUCAGUGCUUGAUGCCCAUCAUCUGAGUUCCGUGGUAUGUGAAAUGUUUUGGAAGAGAGCUUGGGGAGGUCAAAAUUACCAGCUUGUGACUCAUGGUGUUCAAUGUCACCUCAAAACUGUCUUCCGCAACGCGUAUCGCAUGCUCUUAGUAGCUUUGUGGAGUCUUCUCACCUCUCUCGCUGGCUCUCGAGUAUAGGUUUAGUAGUCGUGUUUUUCACUCAGUUAUUUGUUGUUGUGUUGUAGAUGUUGUAUUCCACUACUUGUAAUUCUCUGUAAUUUUUGUAAAAACUCGAAAAUGGUAAUACAAUCUUAACAUGUUUACAAAAAAAAAAUAAUAUUUUUUCCAUUUCGAUAAAUGCGAAAAAGGAAAUAAAAUACAUACAUUGCCAAUUUACCGCAAAAUCAAUAAAUAUAUAAUUUUGGUCGAUUAUUUACAUGAUCUAGAGGACUCACUAAAUCUUCCAUCUUCUCUCUAAAGAUCUUUUUCUGAUUUCUUUGGGCCGGUUUCGUUUACCGACUCAUGCCACUUCCAUAGGGAUGUAUUCUCGAUUUUAGCUUUUGUGUUUAUUUUCUCUUUAUGGUUCAUCUGUUAGAUUGCAUGUUGAUUUUGGAGGUGUUAAUCUGAAGAUCGAGAUAUAAUAUAGAUUUGUUCAGAUUAAGCUUGUUUUGAGGUUGGAGUUUUUGGAUCCGUAAGAACAACAAUGUGGAGUUGAAUUUGCUAAGCUGCUUGUUCCUCUAGUUUAUUUUUGGUGUCUUGGACUUUACUCCGUUUCGAUUACUUUUCCAUCUUGGUUGUCGAGUCAUUCUUUGGUCAGAGAAAAAUGAUUUGCUCCCUGUCUUUCAUCCAGAGGGUUGAUUGAAUCCUCAUCCUUUACAUGCUUUUCAGUUGGCUCUUUCGUGUCAUUCUCGUUAUAGAUCGGUUUUGCCUUUUCCCGUUGAUUGUAUUAGAACGAAGUGUUAUGUUUCUCCGGAUCCUGUAAUCAAUUUUUCGUAAUAGCUUUAUUCUUAAACCUAAAUUCAAAAUUUAAUCAUUUUAAAAAUCUAUAAAACCUUUUUUUGCUUAUUUGUAUUUUGUAAUUAAAAUACUAUUUCCAUAGUAUAAUUUUAAUCUUAAACUUAAACUCAAAAUUUGAUAAUUUUAAAAUCUAAUUUCAAAUUUAAAAUCAGAACCUCAAAAAACUAAAUUUUAAAUUUACAUCCUAAAUCUAAUACCCUAAACCCAAACUCAAACCCUACAUAUAAAGUCAAAAAAUCUAAUUACUACAAAUAAUAUAAUUACUAAACUAAAACCUAUUCCUUAUAUAAAAAAUAUAUAUUUACUGUGGUUGAUGUUACAAAUAUGGAUUUUGGUGUGCUUAAAACCCUAAACCCCAAAACGUAACUCUAUACUAUAGACAUAAAUCUUUAAACUCUAAUAUUUUCAUGCUAUAAACCAGAAUUGUAAAUUCAAACUCGAUUUUUUUAUCUUAAUCUUUAACUUCUGCAACAAAAACAUUAAAACUUUAGUCAACUCUUAAAACCAACCUUUAACAUUACACUUCAAACUCUAAACUCUACAUCCAAAUCUUAAUACAAACUAUCAAACUUUAAUACCUUAAACCAACCUUAAUCUCUACAUAGAAAAUCAUAAAUUCAAUAUUUACAAACUUAUAAUAGAAACUUUAAAUUUAAACCUCAAGCAAAAACUCAAAUCAUAUACUUAAUCCUAAAUUUUAACCCUAAUCCCUAAACCACAUAUCUCAUUUUAACAUAUAUCAUCAAACAUUAAAUCUUAAUUUCUAAAUAAAUUAUAUUUCUGUAAAUAAAUUAAAAUUUCAAUGAUACCAAAUUAUUUAUAGCUUAAAUAAUUUUUAUAGUAGCUAUAAUUAAAUAAGAAGACUAUUUGUAUUGUUUUUUUUUGAACCAUUGAUUGAUUUGAAUCAAAGGCCCAAAAUUAUUUUUGUAUCUAUCCUCGUCCUUUAUUCCUAUUGGUUUAAAAAAGUUGUGUGUGGAUUGAUAAUUUUAACCAUAGAUUAGAUAUUUUGAACGGUUGAGAUUAAAUCUUUUUGUGUUUCUCUCUCUCUCUCUCUUCUCUCUCUUCUCUCACGUUCUUCACUUUCUUCUUCUCUCUCUCUCUCUCUCUCUCUAUCUCUGAAACAAAGAACAACAAGAUUCAUCUUUGUAUUGUCUUUUUUUUCUGUCUAUCUUCUUCAUCCUUACACAAAAUCACCCCAUCACCAUAAACCUCAGCCGCUGCCAUCAUCUUCAUCUCUCGUUCUAUACCUCUGCCAACGAACUGUGUCUCAGCCAUCACCUCUAAUCACUUCAGCUACGGCUACAAUAAGUGGAUCCAUACGGAAAUGUUUGAAGCAGUUGAGAUUUUAUAUUUUUGAUUUUUAUGGUUUAGAUCUGUGUUUGUGGAAAGUUGUUUUCGUUUGGAUCCUUUAUAUUCAUUAUUGAUUCUGUCUUUAGAUCUGUUGAGAACAUUCAUUUUUAUAUAUGUUUACGUACUGAUUUGCUGUUUUUGGAAUGUGGAGGAGUCAGUAGAUUUUGCGGAGGAGACAGAAGAUUUGGCGGAGAAGCCUGACGUCAGAGGAGGUGUGAUGGCUACGUCAGAGCGCUGUGGUGAAGGAGAUGGAGGCGACGACAGGAGGAAGACGACCAUGGAAGUCGGAAGGAGCGGCGCUGUGGUGAAGGAGAUGGAGGCGACGACAGGAGGAAUACAUACGAC
rnacentral:lncRNA from 1 species